rnacentral:rRNA from 1 species
AUUGAACGCUGGCGGCAUGCUUUACACAUGCAAGUCGAACGGCAGCGCGGGCUUCGGCCUGGCGGCGAGUGGCGAACGGGUGAGUAAUACAUCGGAACGUGCCCAGUAGUGGGGGAUAGCUCGGCGAAAGCCGGAUUAAUACCGCAUACGACCUGAGGGUGAAAGCGGGGGAUCUUCGGACCUCGCGCUAUUGGAGCGGCCGAUGGCAGAUUAGCUAGUUGGUGGGGUAAAGGCCUACCAAGGCGACGAUCUGUAGCUGGUCUGAGAGGAAGACCAGCCACACUGGGACUGAGACACGGCCCAGACUCCUACGGGAGGCAGCAGUGGGGAAUUUUGGACAAUGGGCGAAAGCCUGAUCCAGCAAUGCCGCGUGUGUGAUGAAGGCCUUCGGGUUGUAAAGCACUUUUGGCGGGAACGAAAAGGACUGUGCCAAUACCACGGUUCGAUGACGGUACCCGCAGAAUAAGCACCGGCUAACUACGUG